GCAGGUGAAUGCAACGUCAAGCGAUGGGCGUUGCGCUCCAUAUUGUCUGACUUCCAAUUUGAGUUACUGCAUAGCACCUUUCGAUGCUUGAUGUGCCGGCUUAACGCCGGCUUUU
rnacentral:sRNA from 3 species